UUAACUAUUAUAUAGUACUCAGACAGUAUAGACAAACAGAGUUUAGAUCCUCUGGCAAGCGCUCGCCGGCCGGAGCCAGCAGCCCGAAGGCAGGCCUGCCAAAGCAACAAAGUGUAAUAAACAAAGGGUGGUAGGUUACCCGAGAGGCCUUGCGGCGACCCGGGUGACUACUGUAAUGAUCCUUCCGCAGGUUCACCUACGGAAA
rnacentral:misc_RNA from 1 species